rnacentral:rRNA from 1 species
GAUGAACGCUGGCGGCGUGCCUAAUACAUGCAAGUCGAGCGAACAGACGCGGAGCUUGCUCCUCUGACGUUAGCGGCGGACGGGUGAGUAACACGUGGAUAACCUACCUGUAAGACUGGGAUAACUUCGGGAAACCGGCGCUUAUACCGGAUAAUAUCUUGCACCGCAUUGUUCAAUAGUGAAAGACGGUUUUGCUGUCUCUUCUAGAUGGAUCCGCGCCGCAUUAGCUAGUUGGUAAGGUAACGGCUUACCAAGGCAACGAUGCGUAGCCGACCUGAGAGGGUGAUCGGCCACACUGGAACGGAGACACGGUCCAGACUCCUACGGGAGGCAGCAGUAGGGAAUCUUCCGCAAUGGGCGAAAGCCUGACGGAGCAACGCCGCGUGAGUGAUGAAGGUCUUCGGAUCGUAAAACUCUGUUAUUAGGGAAGAACAAAUGUGUAAGUAACUAUGCACGUCUUGACGGUACCUAAUCAGAAAGCCACGGCUAACUACGUG